rnacentral:rRNA from 1 species
UGCGCCGAUGGAGUGCCUCGCGGCCUAUCAGCUAGUUGGUGAGGUAACGGCUCACCAAGGCGACGACGGGUAGCUGGUCUGAGAGGAUGAUCAGCCACAUUGGGACUGAGACACGGCCCAGACUCCUACGGGAGGCAGCAGUGGGGAAUCUUGCGCAAUGGCCGAAAGGCUGACGCAGCGACGCCGCGUGAGGGAUGAAGGCCUUCGGGUUGUAAACCUCUGUCGGGAGGGACGAAGCUCUGACGGUACCUCCAAAGGAAGCACCGGCUAACUCUGUGCCAGCAGCCGCGGUAAUACAGAGGGUGCGAGCGUUGUCCGGAAUCACUGGGCGUAAAGGGCGCGUAGGCGGCCUGGUAAGUCGGGGGUGAAACGCUGCGGCUCAACCGCAGCACGGCCUUCGAGACUGUCGGGCUGGAGCACGGUAGAGGCUGGUGGAAUUCCCGGUGUAGCGGUGGAAUGCGUAGAGAUCGGGAAGAACAUCGGUGGCGAAGGCGGCCAGCUGGGCCGUUGCUGACGCUGAGGCGCGACAGCGUGGGGAGCAAACAGGAUUAGAU